GGGUGCAGAUGAAUAUCAAGUAAUCUGCAGGUUUUUGGGUGGUCGGGCCGCCAUCC
rnacentral:ncRNA from 1 species